AUGAAAUUGUUGUGAUGUUGUCUUGAGUGAUUACGUCACUCGAUAAUGGCGCUUUCAUCUACCUUCAAAGAAAGACUCGAACAAAUGGAGGAUACCAGAAACCAGAGCCUCUAUCUAUAAUCUACUCCAUGUUAUCUCACCCAAAUACUAUCACACAUCCACGAUCACAUUCUUUGCGGCAAAUGUAUGUAUUGAUCAAUUGGAAUCAUUGGCAGGCGGAGAAAGAGCUCCAGUUCAACAAAUCUCGAACCCUAGCUUUAAAGCUUUCCGGUAUCAGAUACAUUGAGCAAAGGUGCUUGAAGCUUGAUCACAAAGUUUCCCAAUUCAUUAUUUCUUCCCUUAAAUCCCUGCUCGAUCGUCUAGAUUCUGUCUAUCUUCAUCAAAUCCAGCAAUUCAGUUAGGGUUUUGAAAAGCGAAGUGGAAAAUCUGGAGGAGUUGGAAAGGGAAAAAGACAAGUAUUUUGCUUUGAAAGUUCGUGAUGUUGAUGAAUUUAGGGCUCGAUCCGAGAUAUUUGUCGCCCAAUGUCAAAGGCGUGUGGAGGAAUUGAGGGAUUGUGUGAAUGAGGUUCAUACUUCAAUUGAUCAUUCUGUCAGCUCAAUUCGAGUUUCAUCCAACUUCAAUGCAGUGCUGGGUAUUCAAAUCCUUCUGAUUUAGCUGCAGCUGAAAUGAGAAAAUCCGAACUUGAAGCUGCGAAAGAUAAUUUAGAUAGAAGGUUGGCUUCUAAUUACAGGACAAAGGCACAGUUGCAAAAGCAGCUAAUGAGUUUUCUGAUUUCUCAGAAAGAAUGGAGGAAAUCAUCUAAUGUGGCUAAAGAUGGGAUCUUUCUAAAAAAAUGGACUUGGAAUAGACGAAUUUCAUAGCAAACAAACAAUUGCAUGCUAGUGUAAUGGACCAAUAGAUAAUGAUUUGGAAAGAUGUAAGAGGUUAGUUACUCAUCGUGGCUUGUUCUGUUUAGUACUGCAAAAUAAUCCAGUAAUUCAAAUAUUGA